UUUCACUUUCUACCAUCCUCCCGCAGGAGAACCACACACGCGCAUGCUUCUUGUGUUUGAUUAUUUUCCUGAUUCCUGGAUAUUCUAAAGAACUUUCCUUUGGCUCUUCCACUUUCGCUCUCAGAUGGUCAGUGUCUUAUUUCCCUGCGGCGUGUUUGAAGCCAGACGUCAAAGACAAAUCUGUUUGACCUUUUCAAAAGAAGUGCCACCAAGAUUUCGAUGAAGGGUAUGAAGCUGAUGCAGUCAUCUGGGAAAACUGACAUCGUACCAGGCCAGGCUGGCAGGUGCGCUUCCGGAACACACACAGAAGAUCCUGUCGCUGGUAACACUGCUGUGCAAGAAGAUAUGCACAAAUGGAAGGCAGGAAAGAGAGAAAGGCGCUGGAAAAGACUUCUUGACUUCAUUCUCUGAUUGUGGGAGCCCAUAAGAAGCACCCGUGGAAGGCAGGAAGUCCACUACAUACUAAAGUACACAAUUCAUAUAGACUAGGUUAUGUGAAAACUAAAUCUCCCUUCACUGACUGAAAAUGUAUUAUAUUCAACAGCCAUUUCAACAAUGCAGUAAAAUAUGACUCAUUACAGUAUUUCUGUGUUUUAUUUUUACAGUUUUUGAGGUGACAAAUUAAAAUGCAUCAUAACUAAGCUCUACAUCUCAAUGUUCCUAAUUCAACAACAAAAACAGACAAACGACUCAAUAAACAAAUGGAUAAAGGACACUUGAAGAGCUAGAUCUGCAAAAAAGACCCAGAGUUCCCGUUGUGGCUCAGUGGUUAAUGAUCC